rnacentral:lncRNA from 1 species
GUUGAAAUGAGGUGAUGCAACUAUGUGAUAUGAAGCUAGAGAAGGUUAGAGGCUUGAGGAUGAAGUUAGGGAUGUGAGUGUACGGACAGGCCGUACAAGGUGGCCGUACAAGGUAAAGAAGAAGUUACCAUGACCGUUUAACCAAGAGGGGAGUAAACGGAUCAUUCUUACCUUCUACCAUGCUCUACUUAGAUCAGACCGUUGAGAGAGCUUGAGGAGCGCUUCUGACAGGCUGUGCCAGGCUGUGACAGACUGUCAGCAUCCUAGUCAAAGAUCCAAGAUGCUUCACACGCGGGAAGAAGCUCAUUGGAUGCUUUAUGAUAUGCGCUCCUCUCCUGGUUGACUCCACAUGCUUUAGCUUAACUUUAAACCUUGUAAACCCUAAGCUCUCAUACUAUAUAAGUUGUAACCUCAUCAGAUUAAUGAUUAACGAGAUUGAAUCACUCUAUCUCUACUCUCUCUCUAGUUUAAAUCUCAAAGUCUCUUAAUCACUCUCAAACCAUGAUUCUUGUUUAAAUCUUUCACUAAACUUCUCUUUACUCGUUCUUAAUCUCUCAAUACCUUCUUAAAUCUCUAAAAUCUCAUGGUAUCAGAGCCAGGUUGGCUUUGGUAUUGAGAGAUCUUAGUUCCUUUGUGUGAUUCUUACUCAUUCCUUCUUUGUGUUCUUGCGUUUGUUCUUGAUACUUCCGGGAAGUCUUGUCAGUUUGUUGAAGUGUCUUACCCUUGGUUCUUUGGUCCCGUGUGUUCUUGAAGAUCUGGUGUGGUAGAAGCUCAACUGAAGUACAAGAUUGAAGACUAGAAGUAUCUAGAGGCAAAGAGAAGAUGGAAGGAAACUACAGUAAGCUUGUUACGGUUCCGGUUGCCUUAAAAGGUGUAGGGAACUACUUGUUGUGGUCUCGGCUGGUGAAGACUGCUAUUGGGAGGCUAGGGUUGUGGAACCACAUCACGGAUGAUGGUCCAGAGCCAGUGGCCAAAGGGAAUGAGGAAGCUGAGGGUGGAAAAGUACUCACUGAAGCUGAGGUGAAGAAGAAAUGGGUUCAGGAAGAUCUGAUGGUGCUGUCCGUGCUACACAGUUCUAUUGAAGUCCCGUUGCUUGAAGCCUACAUCUUCUGUGAGACACCUAAGCAUCUAUGGGAGACGCUCCAGAAGACAUUUGGAGAUGUUUCAAACCUUAACCGUGUGUUUGAGUUGAAGAAAGCCAUCACCUCCUUGAUGCAAGGUGGUGAACGCUCCAGAAGACAUUUGGAGAUGUCUCAAACCUUAACCGUGUGUUUGAGUUGAAGAAAGCCAUCACCUCCUUGAUGCAAGGUGGUGUGGAGCUUACUACACACAUUGGGAAGUUCAGAGCGCUUUGGUCUGAGCUGGAUAACCUGCGCCCAAGUACCAGUGAUCAAGGGAUCAUCAUGGAGAGGAGAGAGCAGGAUCAAGUGUUUGGGUUGUUGAUGACCUUAGAUGUGUGCUACCAGGAUGUCAUAAAGCACAUGCUGAGAUCGUCAAGCCUACCAACAAUGGAGGAGGUGUGCUCUCAACUGCAGAAGGAGGAAGGCUCUCUAGGCUUGUUUGGAGGAAAGGGGGAGCUACCUAUGGCUCAUCAGGCUGAGGAUGUGCAAGCAAACAAGGCGGGUUACAAGAAUGAUGGAAGGAAGUAUGGUGACCGAUUUGAAGGGAAUUGUGAUCAUUGCAAGAAGCCAGGCCAUAAGAAGAGCCAAUGCUGGAUACUUCACCCUCACCUCAAGCCAAGCAAAUUCAACAAGGAGAGAGAAGCCAGAGCUCACAUGUCCACCGAGACAAGCAGUGGCAGUGCAUCCGGGGCUGGUACAUCCUCACAAGUGAAUGAGAGUGAAGGGCGAGCUCUCUCUUCUCACCACUCAGGAGGAAAGAACCUGGAGCAUGAGGUGAUCAGGAAGUCAGACAUAGAUGCACUCAUCAAAGCUCUUAAGGAGUCUGGUAACAAACUAAGACCCAAUACUCUUGGUUAUUCUUUUGCUGCUCAUACUAUGUCUAGUAGAACUGAUAGGUUGCUAGACAUACUAGAGAAUCCCUUGAUUGGUAAAACUGAACAUAGCAUUGCUAAUAAACUCUUAGGAAUUCUUGAGAACUUAAAGAAUAACAAUGAUCAUCCUAGAAGUCAUCUAGCUAAGGAUAUACAUAAAUCUUUGAUUAUUGAUUCUGGUGCAUCUCAUCACAUGAUUAGUGAUAACAGGUUGAUUACGGAUAUAGAACCUACACAAGGUCAUGUCAUGAUUGCUAAUGGAGAUAGAAUUCCUAUUAGAGGCAUUGGUAGGUUGAAACUGUUUAAUAAAGAGUCUAAUGCUUUCUACAUGCCUGAAUUUACUUCAAACUUGUUAUCUGUCAAGAGAUGCACUACUGAUCUUAAUUGCAAUGUUAUUUUUAGUCCUAAUGAUGUGAAGUUUCAGGAUAUUAAGAGCAGUAAGUUGAUCGGCCAAGGAGCAACUAAGGGAGACCUUUACAUGCUUGAAGUGUUGAGAUGAGGUAAUAAAGAGUGACUACAUUGAUAGAGAAAGAGGAUUGAGACAGACAGUAACUUUGGAGUUACCACAGUAACUUUGGUUUUACUGUGGUAACUAAGUUAAAGCUUGGAAAGUUACCUUGGCUCACAUUGGAGAGUAAGCCACGACCAAGAGCUGUAUGGAUAAGGGAGGAGCAGUCUGGAUAAGGUUUCCUCACAGCUAGAGAGGCUGGAGACAGGCUGUAAAGUAGACAGCAUCUAGUAAAAGAUGCCAAAGGGAUCAAGCAUGUGAAGACUCCCAUUGGCUGCUUUUGGAUGGCUCUCUUUGACUACACAUGCCCUGAACCUCUACCUUAUCUAUUGAUUUCGAAAUUGAUUGUCUCUCUCAUAUAAGUAUGUUGUAAACCUCAUCUUUAUUAAUUAAUGGAGUUUUGAGUCUCUCUCUUUAUUCUCUCACUAAAAUCUCUUAAUCUCUUUAAUCUUUUCAUCUGAUUAUCUCUGAUUAUUUGAAUCAUGCUCUAAUACACAAAAGUGUAUAUGGUAUCAGAGCCAGGUUGGCAAAAAGGGGGUGAGUGUGAUUUCUUUUUCUCAAAAUCAGAGUGUUCUUGAGUGUUCUUGAGUGUUCUUGGGAUUAUUGAGGUUUCUGGGUAUGUGUGUUGUCUAUUCUUGUGUGGCUGGGUUUAUUUGAGAUUCUCUGGUGGAAACAUGGAUAUGAAGCACGAAUCUAUUGGAGCAGUGAAGAUUCAAGAAGAAAACAAGUGGGUUUGGCCAAGAUGGGUAAAGACAGCUUUGGGAAGCUGUGAGAUUUGGAGUAAUCAAGUAAAGGGAGAACCUUUAAUGGAGAGAGCUGCUGAUGGGGGUCAGACAGCAAGGUUGAAAUGUGAAGAUCAGUUGAGUCUUGAAGAAAGUAUAUCUCUUGAGAAGAUUGAAGAUGUUUAUGAGAACAAGAUCAAUCUAAGGAGGAUGUAUGAAGUCAGGAAGAUGAUCUGUGAGUUGAAACAAGGGAAAGAAGGUUUCAAUCAGCAUGUGAAGAAGCUGAGAUGUUUGUGGUCGGAGUUACAAAGCUUGAGACCAAGAAGUUGUGAUCCGAGAGUGCUAGAAGAGUGGCGAGAGCAAGAUGUUGUCUUCAGCCUCCUUGCAAGCUUGGAUUCAUCUUAUGGCUGGUUGGUAAAGCUUAUUCUCAAGGAAGAGAAGCUACCCAACAUGGAAGAAGUGUGUGUACUUGUUCAGAGGCUUCAUCAAGUGAUGGAAGAGAACAAAGAGAUAACUUGGAGUAAGGAGGGUGCUAAAAGGAAGAAGGGAAGGCUGAGACGACGUUCUAAGGCUCAGAUCAGAAGAGGAAGGUGUUGGAAGAGAAGCAUACUGUCUGGUUAUCAAGGUAGCUAUGGUACUAUGAAGAUGGGCAGAGUAGAAGCACAACAGAUUCUUAUGGGAGAGUGUUCUUACUCAGCUUACAUGGGAGAAUCUGUAGAGAGCAGUGGGGUUAUGAGGAAGCUAGAGACCAAAGGAGCAGAUGAGCGUGUCACAAAGGAGGAAUGGGAUGAGUUUGUCAAGUAUGUGUAUGCUUUGGCUACGACCCGGAGACAGGGUGCUCCUGCCAAAGCAUCCACAUCCAACAAACCCAUCAUUGUUGAUUCUGGAGCAAGUCAUCACAUGAUUAGUGACAGAAGCUUAAUGAGUGAUGUAAAGAAAGCUACUGGGGGUGUGAUGAUAGCUAAUGGUGAUAGGAUUCCUAUAGAAGGAGUUGGAAAGCUCAAGCUAUUUGAUAAAGACUCAGAUGCCUUCUACAUGCCACAGUUUGCUUCAAAUCUACUAUCUGUAAGGAAAGCCACAAUUGAUCUUGGCUGUCAAGUAGUAUUCAGGCCAGAUGAUGUUGAGUUCCAAGAUUUGAAGACUGGAAGGGUCAUUGGGAGAGGAGACAGCAAGAAUAAUCUAUACCAGCUCCAAUUGGCUAAGAUUUCUAAACCCUUUGAUUCUAUGUGUUUGAGUAGUACUUAUGAGAAGAUUGAUAGUAUUACUUGGCAUGCUAGAUUGGGUCAUCCUCAUGCUCGUGCUAUUGAAUUGAUAAUUCCUAAUAUGUCAUUUAAUCACUUGGAGUGUGAAGCAUGCAUAUUAGGAAAGCAUUGUAGGACUGUUUUUCCAACAUCAGAAACUACUUAUGAGCAUUGCUUUGAUCUAGUUCAUUCAGAUGUGUGGACUGCUCCUUGUUUGUCUAGAGAUAGCCAGAAGUACUUUGUGACAUUCAUUGAUGAGAAGUCUAAGUAUACUUGGCUUACAUUGCUUCCAUCUAAAGAUAGGGUGCUAGAAGCAUUUAUGAACUUCCAAGCAUAUGUAUCUAAUCAAUACAAUGCUACUGUGAAGGUACUGAGAUCAGAUAAUGGAGGUGAAUACAUCAGCAAUGCCUUCAAGAGUCAUCUAGCCAAGCAUGGGAUUGUGCAUCAGACUAGCUGUCCUUAUACACCACAGCAGAAUGGUGUAGCUGAGAGGAAGAACAGGCACUUGAUGGAGGUUGCUAGAUCAAUGAUGUUUCAUGCAAAUGUCCCAAAACGUUUUUGGAGUGAUGCUGUGCAGACUGCUUGCUAUCUCAUCAACCGGGUUCCAACCAAGAUAUUGAAGAAUCUGUCUCCAUUUGAAGUGUUGAACAAGAGCAAACCUGUCAUUGAUCACCUACGUGUCUUUGGGUGUGUGUGCUAUGUCAUGGUUCCAGGAGAGCAGAGAAACAAGCUGGAGGCAAAGAGUACUAAGGCUAUGUUCAUUGGUUACUCUAUCACUCAGAAAGGGUACAAGUGCUAUGAUCCUGAAGCAAGGAGAGUGAUGGUAUCUAGAGAAGUGAAGUUUGUUGAAACAAAAGGUUAUUAUGAAGAAAAGGAGUGGGAAAAUCUGAAGGAUUUGUCUCAAGCUCCAUCUGAUAAGGCAACAAUACUGAGAGUGUUGUUGGAGAAGCUCGGGAUAGGGUUGUCCCAGGAUCAGGAACCCGGCAGGAGAGAGUCUUCCAAUCAGACUGGUGGAGCUGGAAGAACAACUCCUCUUGAUCAUGAGAGGGGGAAUGGAACUGAAUCUGGUGAGCAAGAGCAAAACCAAGAGGAUUCAGGUCUUCAUGAUCAAGUUGAGAACAAUGUUCAGUCUAGUGGAGAAGUGGAUGAGGUUCAGUCUAGUGGAGAAGUAGAUGAGGUUCAGUCUAGUGGAGAAGAACAAGUCGGACCGGCCAGUUCAGAAGAAGAGCAAGUGGAGCCGGCUAGUGUGCAAACUGAAGAUCAGGUGCAAGCUUUGAGGAGGAGCACAAGGAUAAAGAGGGAUCCUUCCAACUGGGUAAACACGAGAGUGUACUACAAUGCCCAGGCUGUGGAGCAUCCUUCUCAAGCCGUGUGUUCCUUUGCUGAGUUUCCAGAGGAGCAUUAUGCCUUUAUGAUUAGUCUGGAUGAGAGUUAUGUGCCAAGGACUUAUGAAGAAGCUAUGUUAGACAAGGAAUGGAAAGAAUCAGUGGGAGCUGAAGCAGGUGCUAUGAUCAAGAAUGAUACAUGGUAUGAGAGUGAACUGCCUAAGGGAAAGAAGGCUGUAUCUAGUAGAUGGAUCUUCACAAUUAAGUAUCUAGCAAAUGGACAGAUUGAUAGGAAGAAGACCAGACUGGUUGCAAGAGGAUUUACACAAACCUAUGGAGAGGAUUACAUUGAUACCUUUGCACCAGUAGCUAAGCUGCACACAGUUCGGAUUGUGUUGUCCAUUGCAACAAACUUGGAGUGGGAUUUGUGGCAGAUGGAUGUGAAGAAUGCUUUCUUACAAGGUGAGCUAGAAGAUGAGGUAUACAUGCUUCCUCCUCCUGGUCUUGAGCAUCUAGUAAAACCAGGAAAUGUUUUGAGAUUGAAGAAGGCAAUAUAUGGGCUGAAGCAGUCUCCUAGAGCUUGGUACAGAAAGCUGAGUACAACUCUCAAUGGGAGAGGAUUCAGGAAGUCUGAACUGGAUCAUACACUCUUCACUUUGGUUACUCCAUCAGGGAUCAUUGUGAUACUGGUAUAUGUGGAUGAUUUGAUUAUCACAGGGAGUGAUAAGGCUGGGAUUAAAGCCACUAAAGAGUUCCUCAAGUCUGUGUUUGAUAUUAAAGACUUGGGAGAGAUGAAGUAUUUCUUGGGGAUUGAGAUAUGCAGAUCCAAGGAGGGUUUGUUUAUGUGUCAAAGGAAGUAUACAAUGGAUAUGUUGAAGGAGACUGAUGUACUUGGAGGAAAGGUAGCCAAGACACCUCUUGAAGAGGGGUAUAAGGUCUUACGUGAGGGGGAGGUUGAAGAGAACCAGUUGUUUGAGGAUGCUAAGCUGUAUAGGAAGAUGGUUGGCAAGCUGAUCUACUUGACCAUCACCAGACCAGAUAUAUGUUUUGCUGUGAACCAAGUGAGUCAGCAUAUGCAGGCACCAAAGGUCCAUCACUGGAAGAUGGUUGAUAGGAUACUGAGGUAUCUGAGUGGGACGACUGGACAAGGGGUUUGGAUGGGUUGUAAUGGCAGUACAGAAGUGGUUGGGUAUUGUGAUGCUGAUUGGGCAGGAGAUAGAGUGGACAGGAGAUCAACUACUGGGUAUUGUACAUUCAUUGGAGGAAACUUGGUUACUUGGAAGAGUAAGAAGCAGAAGGUUAUCUCUUGUUCAAGUGCUGAAGCUGAGUAUAGAGCCAUGCUGAAGCUGACAAACGAGUUGGUGUGGAUCAAGGGGAUCUUGAAGCAUCUAGAGAUUGAGCAGAGUACUCCUAUGACUAUGCAUUGUGACAAUCAAGCAGCUAUCCACAUUGCCUCCAACUCAGUGUUUCAUGAGAGAACAAAGCACAUAGAGGUGGAUUGUCAUAAGGUGAGGCAGAUGAUUAUCUUAGGAGUGAUUCUGCCAUGUUAUACAAGAAGUGAAGAUCAGCUUGCAGAUGUGUUUACUAAGGCAGCGAGAUUAAAGACAAUGGAGUCCAUACUAUCCAGGCUUGGACUCAUUGAUCUUACUCCCAGGAGCUGAGCCCCUUAACCAUGGAGUCUCCACUCUUUUUCCCUCAUCAAAGUUUUAUCCCAAUGGGUUUUCUUUGGUGAGGUUUUUAAUGAGGGAGGUCUUCAUGGUUUCCAAGCUUGACUUGUUCCACAUGGUCAAGCUUGAGGGGGAGUGUUGAGAUGAGGUAAUAAAGAGUGACUACAUUGAUAGAGAAAGAGGAUUGAGACAGACAGUAACUUUGGAGUUACCACAGUAACUUUGGUUUUACUGUGGUAACUAAGUUAAAGCUUGGAAAGUUACCUUGGCUCACAUUGGAGAGUAAGCCACGACCAAGAGCUGUAUGGAUAAGGGAGGAGCAGUCUGGAUAAGGUUUCCUCACAGCUAGAGAGGCUGGAGACAGGCUGUAAAGUAGACAGCAUCUAGUAAAAGAUGCCAAAGGGAUCAAGCAUGUGAAGACUCCCAUUGGCUGCUUUUGGAUGGCUCUCUUUGACUACACAUGCCCUGAACCUCUACCUUAUCUAUUGAUUUCGAAAUUGAUUGAUCAAGCAUGUGAAGACUCCCAUUGGCUGCUUUUGGAUGGCUCUCUUUGACUACACAUGCCCUGAACCUCUACCUUAUCUGAUUGAUUUCGAAAUUGAUUGUCUCUCUCAUAUAAGUAUGUUGUAAACCUCAUCUUUAUUAAUUAAUGGAGUUUUGAGUCUCUCUCUCUUUAUUCUCUCUCUAAUCUCUUAAUCUCUUUAAUCUUCUCAUCUGAUUAUCCCUGAUUAGUUGAAUCAUGCUCUAAUACACAAAAGUGUAUACUAUCUUAGAUGCUUAUAGCUACUGUGAGUAUCCCUGAUUGGUUGAAUCAUGCUCUAAUACACAAAAGUGUAUACUUGUAGUAUGUGUGUGUGGAUAAUCUCCAAUGGAGAAUGAUUAGAGCUUGUUUUAGGUGAUUUAGAAGAGAGAUUGAUGAGAGUGUAUAAGAGAAUUAGGAACAGAGAUUAAGAGACUUAAGUAAAGAGAGAGAGCUUGGAAGCGAUUUGAGAGAAAGGAAGUUUGAUGAGUGUUGGUGUGUCUAAGUGUUUAAGAGAUUAGUAACAAGACUGAGAACGUGUAUAGAGAUUCAGGAUGAGAGACUAGAGAGACUAAGAAAGUGUUUCAGAUUAGAGAAGGAGAAGGGAAACCCCCUUACUCACUUAAGAGUUACAAAACAUCACUUAUGAGCUUAUAUAUGCUCUUUACAACUUGCAAUCAUAAACCUAAAUCUAAGGGCUGUUAUAACUUGAAUUUAAAUGAAUGGAUGAGAUGGAGAGAUGGUCUUGGUCGUGGCUGUGCUGUUCCUGAUGGAUAAUUGGUCCAUUUGAAUCUGGUCAAGGGAAGGCUGGCUCCUUAUUGGCUAGCUAAAGGCUCCCAUGAAUCUGCCUGUUAUAACUUGAAUUUAAAUGAAUGGAUGAGAUGGAAAGAUGGUCUUGGUCGUGGCUGGCUCAUGGUCUUGGUCGUGGCUGUGCUGUUCCUGAUGGAUAAUUGGUCCAUUUGAAUCUGGUCAAGGGAAGGCUGGCUCCUUAUUGGCUAGCUAAAGGCUCCCAUGAAUCUGCCCACUUCUUUUGCUAGAUACAUGGUUUCCUUUUGCUUUUACUUUACAGCAAGGGACUCUCCUUUCCAGCCUGUCACUCGCCAGCCUCUCCUUUGUCUUCUUCUCUUAAGAGUUUCACCAGCCUAUCCUUUGCCUUCUUCUCUUAAGAGUUUUGUCUUCUUCUCUUAAGAGUUUUGUGUUCUCUUACUGUGGUUGUUGAGAAGAGGUGAUAAAGAGUGGGUACAUUGAUAGAGGAAGAGAAAUGGGGCAGUCAGUAACGUUGGAGAUUUACCACAUUAACUUUAGUUUUACUGUGGUAACUAAGGUAUAACUUUGGGAAGUUACCUUUCAAUCAUUUGGAGAGUGAAGCACGUCCAAGGAGAGUCUGGAUAAGGAAGGAGCAAUCUGGAUAAGGAAGAAGCAUUCUGGAUAAGGUCUGGUCAUAGCUGGAAAGGUAAAACACCUUUACAGCCUGUCCAAGCAUGUGAGAACACCCAUUGGCUGCUUUUGGAUGGCUCUCCUUGACUCCACACGUUCCUGAUCUCCUCUGACCCUAUGAUUUCGAAUUGUAUCUUGUAUCACUCAUAUAAAUGAGAUUUUAGAGAGUAGAAUAGGUAUUGAGAGAUUAAGAGAGAUUUGGUAAGAGAUUAAGAGAAGUUUAGAAGAGAUUGUGAAAGAAAUGGAGAGAUUAUGUGUGAUCCAUGAUGAACAAGAGAGAGACUAGAGAGAGAGUAACAUAAUCCGCAUCAUCUUAUUGAUCAGUGAGUGUUUACAAUAUAUAGGAGUGUGAUACUAGGGUUUAAGAAGAGACUAAGCAUGUGAGGUCAAAGCUAAGGGAGCCUUUAAUUUGAACCGGACCAAUGAGCCUCUCCACACGCGUGGUCACUAUGCUAAAAGGGAACCUUUUCCUUCCAGCCUGUGCCAGCCUGUAGAGAUGCUCUUCCUCUAUCCAUAAACGGUCAUAUGCCUUCCUCUAUCCAUCAACGGUCAUAAGCCUUCUUUGGUCGAGGUAAAACAUGAUCCGAACGUGAAUUUCUUCUCGCGGUAACACUUCUUUACCGCAUGGUCGAUACCGUCUGUACGGCCGUACGGCCAUGGUACGGACCUGUACGGACCAGUACGGACGGUUCUCCCUAAGGCCAAUCCUUCUCCUCUACUCAACAUCACAACCUCUUCAACCCUGAACAACUCUCCUCAUAUUCCUCAGCUCAUCUCAACACUCCCCCUCAAGCUUGACCAUGUGGAACAAGUCAAGCUUGGAAGGAUCAUGAGCUCCCCCUCAUUAAAAACCUCAUCAAAGAAAACCCAUUGGGACAAAACUCUGAUGAGGGAAAAAGAGUAAGGACCUCAUGAUCAGGAGAGUGUAUAGAUCAGCCCUUAGGCGAAAGAUCAAGGAGUCCCAACCUUAUGUGAAUUGACUCCAUUGUCUUUUGCCUAGCCGCCUUAGUGAAAACAUCUGCCAACUGAUCCUCACUCCUUGUGUAGCACGGCAGUAUCACUCCCAAGACUAUCAUCUGCCUCACUUUAUGACAGUCCACUUCAAUAUGCUUGGUUCUUUCAUGGAACACCGAGUUUGUGGCUAUGUGAAUGGCUGCUUGAUUGUCACAAUGCAUGGUCAUUGGUGUUGCUUGCUCAAUCUCCAAGUGCUUCAGUAUUCCUUUAAUCCAUACCAACUCAUUUGUGAGCUUUAGCAUUGCUCUAUACUCAGCCUCGGCACUUGAGCAUGACACCACCUUUUGCUUCUUACUCUUCCAAGUAACCAUGUUUCCACCAAUGAAUGUGCAAUAGCCGGUUGUAGAUCUUCUAUCUGUUCUGUCUCCAGCCCAAUCUGCAUCACAAUAUCCCACUGCUUCAGUGCUCCCAUUACAACCCAUCCAUAUACCAAGCCCUUGAGUUCCAUUCAGAUACAUGAGAACUCUUUCUACCAUGCGCCAGUGAUGCUCUCUUGGAGCUUGCAUAUGCUGACUCACUUGGUUCACAGCAAAACAGAUGUCUGGCCUAGUAAUGGUUAGAUAGAUCAGCUUCCCCACAAGCUUCCUGUAUAGCUUUGGAUCAUGAAAUGCCUUACUAUCUUCUAGCUCCCCCUCACGUGGAGCUUUAUACCCAUCCUCCAUGGGCAUCUUGGCUGUCUUUCCUCCAUACGCACCAGCCUCCUUCAACAGAUCCAAGAUAUAUUUCCUUUGUGAGAUGAACAGCCCUUCUUCUGAUCUGCACAGCUCAAUUCCAAGGAAGUACUUCAUUUCUCCCAAGUCUUUGAUGUCAAACACAGAUUUCAGAAACUCCUUGGUCUCCUUGAUUCCCACCUUAUCACUGCCUGUGAUAACUAUGUCAUCCACAUAUACAAGAAGCACAACAAUGCCUGCAGGUGUAGUAAGAGUGAAGAGAGUGUGAUCAAGCUCUGAUUUCCUGAAGCCUCUUCCAUUUAGAGUUGUGCUCAGCUUGUGAUACCAUGCCCUUGCUGAUUGCUUUAACCCAUAGAUGGCCUUCUUCAACCUCAGCACAUUCCCUGGUUUCACCAUCCCUUCUAGGCCCGGAGGUGGUAGCAUGUAGACUUCAUCUUCCAACUCUCCUUGGAGAAAUGCAUUCUUCACAUCCAUUUGCCAAAGAUCCCACCCAAGAUUAGUAGCCACUGAUAGGACUAUUCGAAUGGUGUGUAGCUUUGCAACUGGAGCAAAUGUAUCAAUGUAGUCUUCUCCAUAUGUCUGAGUGAACCCUCUUGCUACCAGUCUAGUCUUCUUCCUCUCAAUUGACCCAUCAGCCUUGUACUUGACUGUAAAGAUCCAUCUACUAGACACAGCCUUCUUCCCUUUUGGUAGUUCACUCUCAUACCAUGUAUCAUUCUUUAUCAUAGCUCCUGCCUCAGCUCCUACUGAUUCCUUCCAUUCUUCAUCUUCCAUAGCCUCUUCAUAGCUUCUUGGAAUGUGAUUCUUAUCUAAGUUUACCAUAAAUGCACAAUGUGCUUCUGGAUAUUGAGCAAAGGAACACACGGCCUGAGUAGGAUGCUUCACAGCUUGGGCAUUGUAGUACACUCUCGUGUUUACCCAACUAGAAGGAUCCCUUCUCAGCCUUGUACUCCUUCUCAACACUGGUCCUUCUUGCGCCAUCUCUUGUUCUUCUUCUACUUGUGGAGUGACUGCUUCAGUCUGUACUUCAGCUUCAGCUCUAGCCUCUCCUUGUCUCUGACCUUCUUCAUUCUGACUUUCAUUCAGUUCUUCCCUUGCUGAUCCUUCUCCACUUUGGACAGGAGAAUCAGUUCCUCUGUUUCCUAGCUCACCGGCCUCUUCUAAGCCUUGGUCCUCUAGUUCAGAUACUGAUUCACUUCCCCCCUCAUGUGCAAAGUGGGAUGGUUCUUCUGCUGCAGCUGGAGUAGGUUCUGGACGCCUACUCUGAUCCUGGGACACUCCAAUUCCGAGCCCCUCUAGAAUGUUUCUCAAGCAAGCAGCUCUUUCUGAUGGCUGGGAUAGAUCCUCCAGGUCUUCCCAUGUCUGCUCAUCAUAGUAUCCUUUCUCUUCCAUGAAUCUGACAUCCCUUGACACUAGGACUCUCCUAGCUGUAGGAUCAUAGCAUUUGUAGCCCUUCUGUGAAGUGGAAUACCCAAUCAUCAUGGCCUUGGUGCUCUUUGCUUCUAGUUUGUUUCUCUGCUCGCCUGGUACAAGAACAUAACACACGCAUCCAAAGGUCCUCAGGUGAUCCAAGACUGGCCUGCUCUUGUUAAGUACCUCAAAUGGAGAUUGAUCUGCCAAGAUCCUGGUUGGUAUCCUGUUGAUCAGAUAGCACGCAGUCAUCACAGCAUCACUCCAAUACCUCUUGGGAACCCCUUUGUGGAACAUCAUAGACCGGGACACCUCCAUGAGAUGUCUGUUCUUCCUUUCAGCAACUCCAUUCUGCUGUGGAGUGUAUGGGCAGCUAGUCUGGUGAAGAAUCCCAUGUUGAGCAAGGUGAUCACGAAAUGCAUGCCCAGUAUACUCCCCACCAUUAUCAGACCUGAAAAUCUUAAUCUUGGCAUGAUAUUGGUUAGUCACAUAGGCUUGAAAUUUUUUAAAUGCAUCAAGGACUCUAUCUUUAGUUUUAAUCAAUGUUAACCAGGUGUAUUUGGAUUUUUCAUCAAUGAAUGUGACAUAAUACUUGUAAUCAUCCCUAGAUAAGCAAGGUGCAGUCCAAACAUCAGAGUGAAUUAAAUCAAAGCAGUUUGCAUAAAGAGUAGAUGAUCUUUGAAAAACAGUCUUACAGUGUUUACCCAAAAUACAAGCCUCACAAUCAUUAUUUUUAAACAUGACACCUGGUAACAUAAUGCUUAAAGCCCUAACAUGUGGAUGGCCUAGCCUAGCAUGCCACAGAGCAUCAAUACUUAAGGAAGAAACAGAACUAAACGAGAAACAAGAACUAGAAAUAGGUGCAAGGUCUUCAAUCAUGUAAAGAUCUCCCUUGGUUGCUCCUUGCCCAAUCAACUUACUGCUCUUAAUAUCCUGAAACUUAACAUCAUUAUGACUGAAAAUAACAUUGCAUUGAAGAUCAGUAGUGCAUUUCUUAACUGAUAAGAGAUUAGAGGUGAACUCAGGCAUGUAAAAAGCUUUUGAAUCCUUAUUAAACAAGUUCAGUUUACCAAUGCCUCUAAUGGGAAUUCUAUCUCCAUUUGCAAUCAUAACAUGACCAAGUGCAGGUUCUAUGUCUUUUAUCAGAUUGUUAUCACUAAUCAUGUGAUGAGAUGCACCAGAAUCAAUUAUCAAUGGUUUAUGCAAGCUCCUAGCAGUAUUGAUUCUAGAUGUUUCAUUUUCAGCUUUCAGGCUCUUAACUACUCCUAACAAUCUAUCAGUUAUGCUAGUAUGAGCAGUAGCAGUACAUGAGGUUUUAAAAAUGUCUAACAGCUUAUCAGAGAUACUAGGUAAUGUAUGAGCAGAGUAUGAGUAUCCAAGAGUGUUGCCUAGCAUUUUACCAGACUCCUUGAGGGCUCGGAUGAAUGCCUCAAAGUCAGCCUUGGUGAUCACUUCCUGAGAAGUUAGAACCAUGCCUUCACUUUCACCCGCCUUGACAUUUGGACUAGCCCCUGAUGAGCCAGCACCACUUGCUUCAGCAGAAAGGUGAGCCUUAGCUUCUCUAUCCUUGUUGAACUUGCUUGGCCUGAGGUGUGGAUGUAGGAUCCAGCACUGACUCUUCUUAUGCCCUUGCCGCUUGCAAUGCUCACAGCUUCCCUCAUACUUCUCAUACUUCCUUCCAUCUCCACGGUAUGCUGCCUUGUUUGCUUGCGCCUCUUCUGCUUUAUGAGCCGUGGACAUUCCCUUCUUGCCUCCAAACAACCCAAGAGAGCCUUCCUCCUUCUGAAGUUGUGCACAAACCUCCUCCAUGGAUGGGAGAGUAGGUGAUCUCAGGAUAUGCUUGAUCACAUCCUGGUAGCUUUCAUCUAGAGUCAUCAAUAGCCCAAACACCUGAUCUUGCUCUCUCCUCUCAAUGAGCGAUUCCUCAUCAGUUGUGUUGGGUCUAAGACUCUCAAGUUCGGACCACAACGCUCCAAACUUCCCCAUGUGCUUGGUGAGAUCUUCUCCAUCUUGCCUCAAGACACUGAUGGUUUGCUUCAGAUCAAACACCCGACUUAUGUUGGACUUGUUUCCAUACCUCUUAUGGAGCAUGUCCCAAAGGCGCUUAGGAGUCUCAAAGUGCACGUAAGCUUCAAGUAUGGGGAGCUCCAGAGAGGCAUGGAGCACAGACAGCACCAUCAAAUCCUCUUGGACCCAUCUCUUUGCUUCAGCUACCGCAAGAGUCUUCCCGUCGCCUUCUUCUUCAUCUUCUUUGGCCACUGGCUCCGGACCAUCAUCUGUGAUGUGGUUCCACAGCCCUAGCCUUCCAAUGGUAGUCCUCACCAACUGGGACCACAUCAAGUAGUUCGAGCCUCCCUUCAGUGCAACCGGAACCGUCACCAGUUUGCUAAAGUUGGUCGUCUCCAUCUCCUCUUCUUUAUCACACAAGAACACACUCGCAAAUGUAAAGAAAGGAACAAGGGUCUCUCAAUACCAAAGCCAACCUGGCUCUGAUACCAUAUGAGAUUAGAGAGUAGAAUAGGUAUUGAGAGAUUAAGAGAGAUUUGGUAAGAGAUUAAGAGAAGUUUAGGAGAGAUUGUGAAAGAAAUGGGGAGAUUUAUGUAUGAACCAUGAUGAACAAGAGAGAGACUAGAGAGAGAGUAACAUGAUUCGCAUUAAUCAAUUAAUCAGAGAGAGUUUACACUUAUAUAUGAAGCUUAAGACACUAGGGUUUAGACUGCAUAAAGGAGAAAGCAUGUGAAGUCAAGAUACAGCUAAGGGCGGAUUUGAAUCCUUCCAAUGAGAGUCUCCACAUGUGUAAGGCAUCUUUGAAUAUGCCUUUACCUUUCCAGCUCUUGCCAGACUGUCAGACGCGUUCCUCCUUAUCCUCUCAACGUUCGGAUCAAGCUCAGCCUUAAGGUAAAGUAACUCUAGCUGGUUUACUUUUACCUGAGCUAAGUAACCCCUUAACCGCGCAUGAUGGUACGGCCUGAUCGUCCGUACCCUUUGCCCUAUCCGUACAGUCCGUACAAGAUGCUUCUAUCUUCCUCUCUAAUGCUUCUACACUUCCUAAGGUCUCCUCUUCAUACCAUAAGGCUCUCUUCUUAACACUCCCCCUCAAGCUUAGCUUUGUGAC